GGUAAGGUCUGCAUACACUUUACACUCCCCAGACCUCACAUUGUGGGAUUUCACUGGGUAUGUUGUUGUUGUUGUUGUUGUGUUUUGAACACCCUCGUCAUCCUCUAAAUUCGCCCUUGCAAGUAACUGUUGUAGAAUUACACGUUUUAUUAAGUGAACUUUGUACGAGGAUGAGUAAUUAGUAAAGAUCAUUGAUUUCACGCAUAAUUUAGCACCAAUUAGGCCUGGGAAUUUCUUGUUUUGUUAUUGGCAUCAUGUGGGCAUGUGGGCAGACGUAGGAAGUGAUGCUGGCUUUGCUUAGUCUUCAACUGCAUCUUUUGGAGCUCAGCUGCUAGAAAACUCUCAUGGCAUUCUCAAUUUCUCUUCCAGCCUUCGUUCAUCCUCAACUCCAACAUGUUGUUGCAAAGAUGUCUCUGUUCGACACAAUUUUGUUCUAUGUGGUACAUCUUGUGGACAAGUUUGAUCUAUGGCAUAGAUUACCCGUGUUACUCGGGGCUGCUUACUUAGGGAUGAGAAGACACUUGCACCAGCGAAACAACUUAUUACAUGUAGGAAAAGUUAAUGGCAAGAAAUAUGACACACAAGAGUUUACCUAUCGAACUGCUGAUGGUACGUGCAAUAAGAGUCCGGAACCAAAAUACCCCUAAAAUAAUCACUUUGAACCAAAAUAUCCCAACAAAAAAAAUGUUACAAAACUACCUUUAUCGCAGUAAUUUACUGCGCUAAAGCAGUUCACGGAGACGGAGCCGUUAAUUGCUUUAGCGCAGUAUUUUAUUGCGUUAUAGGAGCAGUUAAAAAAAAAAUUGGCCAACUUUAUUUUUUGCAACACUUAGUGUGUUUUUUCCAUACUUUGAUCAAUGAUUAGUUGUGUGUCAAGACUCCGAAACGUCAAUAUUUUAUAUAAAACAUGAUAUUUUUUUCUGCGUACAAUAAUGUAGGCUCAAUACAUCAAGGAUACAUAAACGUUCGGAUCGUCAUUUUAGGGGUUGAAAAGGUGCCCAAAAUAUGUUUUAUUUGUAAACUUUAGGUUUAAGUGUUAUAUACAUAGACGUUCAUUUUUGUUUGAAGACUUGUUGUCAUUAGCUUAAGGUUUUUUAUUUUUAGGGUUUAGAUUUAUUGAAAAUAAAGCUGUUACCAAAAGGUUUUUAACUGCUUUAGCGCAGUAUUUUACUACGCUAAAGAAUAUUUUCUU